UCCCAGAGAGGUUCCAAAAGGAGUCAAAAACCCUGGCUCUGUUUCAUUCUGAGUCAUCUCUAUAAGAAAGCCAUUAUCCAUCUUCAUAUCUUUCAAAACUCUCUAUGAAACACCAAACCAACCAUGUGCGAUGAAAGCGGCGGAUCAAUCUUUCUUCUCUGCUUCCCUUCAACUGUUGGUCUCAUAGAAGAGCUUCUAUGGAGGUCUUCGACUUCUUUAGAAGCUGAAAUGGUGUCACUGUCAGUUAGUGGAGCUCUGAACCAUGCUAAGCAGAAGAAAAUGGAAGACAUGGAUUCGAGACAGUGGCUUGGUGAGUUCAAAGAUGCUAUCUGCUGUGUAGAGGAUCUGGUGGGUGAGAUCAAAUCUCAAGCUUUUCGAUGCAAAGUGGAAAAAGGUAAAUCUGGAAUCUGCAUAUUGGUUAAGGUAUGCAACUUUUUCUCAUCUACAAUCACUGUUAAGGAAAUAGAAGAUAAGAUAGAGGAUAAUCUGGGGAUGCUAGAUUAUGUUGUGAGAGAAGAAGAUCUAUUUGGAUUGAGAUUAUCUGAAACUAGUUUGGUGGAAGAAUCUGAUAUUUAUGGGAGGACUAGGGAUAAGUUAGCCAUGUUUGACUUGUUUUUGUUGUUGUUAUAUGAUGAUGAAGGAGGUGGUAAUAAAAUAUGUGUCAUUAUGGGAAUGGGUGGAAUCGGCACUAGCACUCUUGGGUUAAGAUACUUUUGAUUCUAAAAGUAUAAAUUAGAUUGUCCGAUAAAUUGAUAUUUUUAUAUUGGGAUGAAAAAUUUAUUAGAGAAUUAAUAGUUCAAAAGGUUGUCCUAGCAAGUUGUUUUUGAAAGAAAAAAAAUAUUUCUUUGUUCUGGAUGAUGUUUGAAAUGUGAAUUAAUAGUUCAUUUGAAUAUACAGAACAUGAAAAUAAGAUUGUUUGUUACAAUAUGGAUGGAAAUACUGCAUGAAAGAUGGGAUGGUUUGGUAUUUAAGAAAGAUGUUUGGAGUUUAUUUCUUAAGCAUGCCUUCAAUAAUGUAGAGCCAAGUGCCUACCCAUCUUUGGAAGAAAUUGAUAGAGAAAUUGUUAAAAAAUGCAAAAGGUCUUCCUUUAGCAGUAAAACAACUUGCUAGUUUUGUGUGCAUUAAACUAAAUCCCAAAAAAUAUUAAAUAUAUCGGACAAUGACAUAUGGGAGGUUUAACUCAAAAGAGUGAAAUAUUCUUCUAGCUCUAUGGUUGAGCUACUAUUAUUUGCCUCCACAUCUAAAACGAUGUUUUAGAUUCCAUGUUUAUUUAAGAGCAUUGAGCAAGAAAUACGUCAAGUGGAAAGCGAGAAGCUCCAAUUCAAGCGAAACAAGAUACACUCUCUCAAAAACAGGUGCUUCUUGAAGAGCAAAAAUCACUCAUUGUGGAGGCUGUCAUCCUCAGUGACCAAGGAGUCUAGAAGAAUCCAUCGACUCUUGAUGAUGUAACAUCAAGGUCACUAUUUCAUAAAAAAAUAAAAAUUUUGGUUUUAUCAUGCAUGAUCUUGUGAAUGAUUUGGAUAAACUUAUAGCAAAAGAAUCUUGUUUGAUGUUUGAUGAUAAUAACUCAGACAUCUUUCUAGGAAAGAUUCUUUAUUUGUUUUGGAUUGCAUAUAAGUUGUUUGAUAUCAAGAUGUUAGAAUAUUUAUCCAGAAAACAAGUUAUUCUGCUUUCUUGAUAAAUUUUAAAACAUUGCAAAAAUUUCAAUGCUUAAGAAUGCUUUCUUUGUGUAAAGUUGAUACUAUCACAAAGUUGCUGAAUUUAGUUGACAAAUUGGAGCUUUUAAGGUAUUUGGAUUUGUCUUGGACUGAAAUCAAAGAAAUACUUAUGCAAUUUGUAGUAUGUACAAUUUGCAAGCACUAUUAUCAUAUUGUUGUAGUAAUUCUGGUAGAUGUUAGAUUCAAUUGGUAAUUUGAAGCGUCUAAGGUACGCAGACUUAUCACGCAUCUUAGUUGAAGAGAUUUCAUUUGCUGUAUGUAAGAUCUGCAUACUCUGUUGCUGGGAGUUUGGGAUCUUGUACUACUUGUUUAUCAACAAAUGUGACAAGACAAUCAAUUUGUCCCACUUGAACAUCAGUGAGACGUCUCUGCAAAUAUCCAACUUCUGAUAUCAGAAAUAUUAUGUGAUUUUGUUGUAAGGAAAACAAUGGAUCUGGUAUUAAGUAAUGGGGUUGGAAGCCUUGGAAAAGUAGUAACUGUUGAUGAUAUUGUAGAUUCAUUUCUGAAGAAAUGUCAGCUUCAGCUUCCAGUCACACUGAUUUCUCUCAAGCUAUUCAGUCUUAAUAACCUUAAAUCUCUUAAUGGCCAGGCCUUUAGACAUCUGGCUUCCCUAAAAGUAUUGAUUUCUUUUGCUGUGCUUUACUAAAUGAACGGUGCCAAAGAGAGAUAGGAGGAGAUUGGCGCCCAACAUUUCAGCAUACACAUAAAUAACAGUUAUACAUGAUCAACAGUGUACAAAGUAUGGACAGACAAGUACUCUGCUUCUCUUCAGUUUUUGAGACCCAUGAUACUUUUGUGGUUCCCAUAGUGGGAGACAACUACUGUUAUUUCCAGAUGACAGAUCGCUUUCAAAUUAUAAUUGUAUACUAUUUCUGGAGCAAAGAGCUUUUAUUACAUUUUUGUGCACUGGGAAUCUGCAAGCACUCUAGUCUCCUAUGUUCUAACAUAUCGAAUGCAUAGAUGAUGUUUGGGAUGGUUUUUUUCAUGCUAUCAGCUCCAGUGCUUGCCAGAAGGAGCUCAACAAGAAUAAAAGCUAUUGGUCUCCUUGCCUCUGGAGCGCAGGCGCAAUGGUAUACCAGUUGUUUGGAUCUUAGUUCAGGUUCCUUUUUGUUCUUUGAAAAUUUGAAUGUAGGAAUUAAGUAUGUAUUCCUUGGCGGAAGUGAAGACACCAGCGAUGAUGAGAUGAGAUUCAGAAACCAUAACAUCAUAUCCAUGAAAGUUGCGGUGGCUAACAGUUUGGAAGAGAGCCAUUAAUGAAUUUACGAAACUAUGGUAGCCUUUUGUAGCUAUGUGAAACAUUGAGGGAUGUCAAUAAUAUAUGUGCUGAUUAAGAAAAAUACAAAUUUAUCCUGAUAUAAUAAUAUCAAAUAUCAGAGAGAAAAUUUUGAAGAUAAGUUUCAGCAUGUAGACACUGAUAUCAGUUAAUGCAAAUGUGGUGUUAUGGUGCAAUUCUAGAAUGUGCCACUUUUUCUGAA